CCAAGGAGUCUAACAUGUGCGCGAGUCAUUGGGACUCGUACAAGCCCAAAGGCGCAAUGAAAGUGAAGGACGCGCCCUCAGCCGUCCGAGUUGGGACCCUCCCCGACGGGAGGAGCACCAACGACCCGUCCCGUCCGCAGCGUCGGUGGGGCGGAGUGUGAGCGCACACGUUGGGACCCGAAAGAUGGUGAACUAUGCCUGGGCAGGACGAAGCCAGAGGAAACUCUGGUGGAGGUCCGUAGCGAUUCUGACGUGCAAAUCGAUCGUCAGACCCGGGUAUAGGGGCGAAAGACUAAUCGAACCAUCUAGUAGCUGGUUCCCUCCGAAGUUUCCCUCAGGAUAGCUGGCACUCGUGUGGGAAUCAGUCUCAUCCGGUAAAGCGAAUGAUUAGAGGCCUUGGGGCCGAAACGACCUCAACCUAUUCUCAAACUUUAAAUGGGUGAGCAGUCCGGCUUGCACGACUGAAGCUCGGACGGCGAUGAGAGUGCCCAGUGGGCCACUUUU
rnacentral:rRNA from 1 species